GAUGAACGCUAGCGACAGGCUUAACACAUGCAAGUCGAGGGGCAACGGGACGUAGCAAUACGUUGCCGGCGACCGGCGGAUGGGUGAGUAACGCGUAUGCAACCUACCCACGACAGGGGGAUAGCCCGUUGAAAGACAGAUUAAUACCCCAUAAAACAGGGGUUCCGCAUGGGACUAUUUGUUAAAGGGUUCUCCGCGAGGGGGACCUCGGUUGUGGAUGGGCAUGCGUUCCAUUAGGCAGUUGGUGAGGUAACGGCUCACCAAACCGACGAUGGAUAGGGGAACCGAGAGGUUGGUCCCCCACACUGGUACUGAGAUACGGACCAGACUCCUACGGGAGGCAGCAGUGAGGAAUUUUGGUCAAUGGACGGAAGUCUGAACCAGCCAAGUCGCGUGAAGGAAGGCGGCCCUAAGGGUUGUAAACUUCUUUUGUAAGGGAAUAAAGUGCGUUACGUGUAGUGCAUUGCAAGUACCUUACGAAUAAGGAUCGGCUAACUCCGUG
rnacentral:rRNA from 1 species